GGCAACCCUGACGGAGCAACGCCGCGUGUGGGAGGACGGCCUUCGGGUUGUAAACCGCUUUUCUCUGGGAAGAUGAUGACGGUACCAGAGGAAUCAGCCUCGGCUAACUCCGUGCCAGCAGCCGCGGUAAUACGGAGGAGGCAAGCGUUAUCCGGAAUUAUUGGGCGUAAAGCGUCCGUAGGUGGUUAUUCAAGUCUGCUGUCAAAGCGUGGGGCUUAACUCCAUAGAGGCAGUGGAAACUGGAUGACUUGAGUGCGGUAGGGGUCGAGGGAAUUCCCAGUGUAGCGGUGAAAUGCGUAGAUAUUGGGAAGAACACCAGUGGCGAAAGCGCUCGACUGGGCCUGCACUGACACUGAGGGACGAAAGCUAGGGGAGCG
rnacentral:rRNA from 1 species